CUUAUAAAUGAUAGAACUCAGUGCUUAUUGAUUUUAAGCUGUUAGAAUUUGUUGAUUUCAGCGUUUUUGGAUUUUAAGUUAUUAGAAAUGACUUAUUUCACUGUUUUUCUUAUUUAAGCUAUUAGAAUUUAUGAAUUUCACUGUGUAAGCUGUUAGAAGUUGUUGAUUUCAGGGUUUUUUGGAUUUUAAGUUGUUAGAAUUGACUUAUUUCACUGUUUUUCCGAUUUAAGCUAUUAGAAUUGAUGAAUUUCACUGUGUAAGCUAUUAGAAGUUGUUGAUUUCAGAGAUUUUUGGAUUUUAAGUUGUUAGAAUUGACUUAUUUCACUGUUAUUCUGAUUUAAGUCAUCAUAGAUAAUGUGAAAAACUGAAUCAAACUUUGGCGAGGAUGGUACAGAUAAGUGAUAUUCUCGGUCAAAGUGGAUUUGAUUGGGAUGCCCCAAAAUGCAUGAUUAAUGUCGAAGAUGAAAAUAAAUGGAAUGAAUAUGUAAGUCUCAUGAAGAAGCCAAACGGUUCCGAUUUAAGGUCAUUCCAAAUUGGGAUGACAUUGUAGCUAUAUGUGCUAAAGAUAGAGCAAGUGGAUUCAAGUAGAACAUGCAUUUGAUGCGGAUGAUGUUAUGAGCAAAGAAGCAAAUGCAGAUGGAAAAGUUUCUGAUGUGUAUAUUGAUUUAUAGGAACCAAGCUCCGCAACAAAGAAAAAGUUGAUGAUUGAAGGAUGACGACUAUAGGCAGACUUGUGACAAUGGAGGGAUGACAUCUACAAUUGGACUCAAUUACUGUACAUGUGUAUACCACAUUUGUUGUGGGGAUUAUUACAUUUAGUAGUUAAUUCUAAUCUAUACUUGUCUAUUGAAAUUGUCUACGAUGAGUAGUUAAUUUUUUUUAAAUGUCAUUUUCGCAGUGGCGAAGAAUAUUAGAUACAUGGAUUAUAUGUGUACUUACAACUCUUAUAAUACAAAUAUUAGUUUUAUUAAAAAGGUUUUUUGUUUCAA